UUUGAAUCACAAAUUCCAAAUACAUAAAUAAACUAAGUUCAUUUAUUUAACAUCUUCAAAUCGAGUCUUCCUUUUUUGAACUUUCAUCUUAGUCACUUAUGACGAAGUCUUUCAUAUUUAGGAGUCUACCUUUUGACUUGUUAGACGCAACCAAAGCAAAUGAGAUAAUGCAAUCUUCCCUUUUCUUUAAUCGUUUUGAUUUUUUAGAUGCGACUUUCUCUAAAUAUCGAGUUGGAUAUAUCAUUUUCCAAAGGUAGAUCUUUGAUAAAAUUGUAGGUGCUCCAACCUUUCUUCGUUAUUACUUUUAGAUUUCCAUCCAAUUCAAAGGAUUCAAACAAAACGAGGCACAAGCCCUUCAAUGCUCUUUUUCUUACUUUCUCCUUGUAUUCAAGGUACUUGGUGAAAGAAGGAGACAUUUAUACCCAAGGGUUCCAAAAGUGAAUCUUUGAAUGCAUUUUGUGAAAUUUCUUGGAUAAUACAUCUUGUUGGCUGUAG
rnacentral:lncRNA from 1 species